CUUCACCGAACCCAGCCACAACGGCUCCGCCCGGUCCCGGCCGUACGUCGCCAGGAGCGCCUGCGCCUC
rfam:Kitasatospora griseola strain MF730-N6 RKJC_1, whole genome shotgun sequence.